rnacentral:rRNA from 1 species
UACAGAGGGUGCAAGCGUUGUUCGGAAUUAUUGGGCGUAAAGCGCGUGUAGGCGGCUUUGCAAGUCGGGUGUGAAAGCCCUCAGCUCAACUGAGGAAGUGCGCCCGAAACUGCAGAGCUUGAGUACCGGAGAGGGUGGCGGAAUUCCCCAAGUAGAGGUGAAAUUCGUAGAUAUCAAGCGGAACACCGGUGGCGAAGGCGGCCUUCUGGACAGUGACUGACGCUGAGACGCGAAAGCGUGGGGAGCAAACAGG